AAACUUAGGUUAAUUAAACCAAGAGCCUUCAAAGCCCUAAAUAAGGAUCCUGCCCCUUAGUUUUUGUA
rnacentral:tRNA from 2 species